UACAGAGGUGGCAAGCGUUGUUCGGAAUUACUGGGCGUAAAGGGCGCGUAGGCGGCCCGUCAAGUCCCGUGUGAAAGCCCCCGGCUCAACCGGGGAACGGCGCGGGAAACUAGCAGGCUUGAGUUCGGGAGAGGGAAGCGGAAUUCCGGGUGUAGCGGUGAAAUGCGCAGAUAUCCGGAGGAACACCGGUGGCGAAGGCGGCAUCCUGGACCAACACUGACGCUGAGGAGCGAAAGCCAGGGGAGCAAACGGG
rnacentral:rRNA from 1 species